rnacentral:rRNA from 1 species
AGUGAACGCUGGCGGUAGGCCUAACACAUGCAAGUCGAACGGCAGCACAGUAAGAGCUUGCUCUUACGGGUGGCGAGUGGCGGACGGGUGAGGAAUACAUCGGAAUCUACUUUUUCGUGGGGGAUAACGUAGGGAAACUUACGCUAAUACCGCAUACGACCUACGGGUGAAAGCAGGGGAUCUUCGGACCUUGCGCGAUUGAAUGAGCCGAUGUCGGAUUAGCUAGUUGGCGGGGUAAAGGCCCACCAAGGCGACGAUCCGUAGCUGGUCUGAGAGGAUGAUCAGCCACACUGGAACUGAGACACGGUCCAGACUCCUACGGGAGGCAGCAGUGGGGAAUAUUGGACAAUGGGCGCAAGCCUGAUCCAGCUAUACCGCGUGGGUGAAGAAGGCCUUCGGGUUGUAAAGCCCUUUUGUUGGGAAAGAAAAGCAGCAGGUUAAUACCCCGCCGUUCUGACGGUACCCAAAGAAUAAGCACCGGCUAACUUCGUG